UCCAACCCCUCUUUCUUUCUUUUGAAGCAUUUAUGCAUGACACUUGAAACAAUUGACGACCUCAACUAACUGCAUGGAGAGUGAAUUGUUGAGACGAUGAGGAAAAUAAAAUGAAAGUGCAGAUCCCAAUAAGCAUAGAUGAUGGUUGUUAUUUUUUGGGAGGUUGAUACUUAGCAAGGGUGGAGACUCCCUUCCCAAACCGAGAGUCACCAUUUGCAUAAGACAUCAAUCAUCUGAACGAGUUUGCAAUGGUUUAGCUACUGGCUGUGUUCUAAUACUAAAACAGCUACUCAUGGUGAGGAGAUUGAUUGAGUAAAAUGGCUAGAAAGCAUCAGUGCUUUGAACUGAAAGGACAAGGUUAAUAAUAUAAGACCUUAUUGAUGGCAGCAAAAUUGAUGGUAAAUGUUUUCAUAGCUUUUGAAUGAGUGACAAUUUGCAGGCCCAGCUUGGCCUACUAGGGUAAGGGGAGCUGCUUGAUAUACUUUUUGAGAAUCAUUCUC